rnacentral:tRNA from 1 species
GGCUCUGUAGCUCAGGGGUUAGAGCAGGGGACUCAUAAGCCUCGUGUCGUGUGUUCAAAUCACACCAGAGCCA